GACGAACGCUGGCGGCGUGCUUAACACAUGCAAGUCGAGCGGUAAGGCCCCUUCGGGGGUACGACGAGCGGCGAACGGGUGAGUAACACGUGGGUGACCUGCCCUCAGCUCUGGGAUAAGCCUGGGAAACUGGGUCUAAUACCGGAUAUGACUCCAUGACGCAUGUCGUGGGGUGGAAAGCCUUGUGCGGCUGGGGAGUGGGCCCGCGGCCUAUCAGCUUGUUGGUGGGGUGAUGGCCUACCAAGGCGACGACGGGUAGCCGGCCUGAGAGGGCGACCGGCCACACUGGGACUGAGACACGGCCCAGACUCCUACGGGAGGCAGCAGUGGGGAAUCCUGCGCAAUGGGCGAAAGCCUGACGCAGCGACGCCGCGUGAGGGAUGACGG
rnacentral:rRNA from 1 species